CACUGGUGAUAAUCCAAUGCCCCGAAAACUUAAGGGUUCCUCCACAAGCUUCAUCCACGGAGGGUGAGUCAGGGCCUAAGAUUAGGCCAAAAGGCAUAGUCAAUGGACAAUAAGUUAAUAUUCCUAUACUACCCCUUGUUGGUCCCAAGGGACGGAGGAGGAUAGGUUAGACAAAAGAUGGUUAUCGGUUAAAGGAUGCAAGGUGACCCUCUAUACAUUGAUUCAAAGGUAAAAGAAGAAUCAAAUAUAGGUGUGUAUAAGGUGAGGUUGGGGGUG
rnacentral:ncRNA from 1 species